UGCCGCAGUCAUGCUGAGUUUUGGAAUUGGGGAGGCCAAGCAGGGUUUGGGCCACGGUCGCGGCCCUCACGAGUUCCUCGGCCGCGCUGAGGUUCAAAACUCUGGCCUGAGCCAUUCAGCUCCCCUCCACCGCUUUGAGGUUUUGGGGGAUCCGGCCUGUCCCCGCGGACCUUUCGGAGGGGGAGGCCAGGGGUGAGGCUGCGGAGCCUCCUGGAACUCUGACGAUCGCGUCGCUGUCGCGUCUCCUGCUAACCCCCUCCUGUCCUCUUCCGUCAACAGUUCUCUUCUGUCAAAACCAAAAGCACCAUAGGAGCUACAGUAUCUGAUACCGACGUCUUACAGAUAGUUCCUGGGUUCCUUCUGUGAGUUUCUUCUGUUUGUAAAGCUCUGUGCUGGAUGAUUUGAGGAGAUUCAGAACUGAAGAUGGCUCACACCAUGGCUCCAGGUGUCAGUAAUUAACACUGUGGACACCUCCCAUGAGGACAUGCUUGUUUUGCAGCUCCACUCUGGUCCUGUGGAAGGUGUUUGGCACCCAGCGAGACACCAUACUCAAUGCCCUGCAGCUGCUCACAGAUGUCCUGGAAAAGACCCGCUCCAGACAAGACACAGUGGAGAUGGAUGCCCAGCCUGUGGUGACCCAAUGGCGGUGGCCUUCAGUUUUGCUUUGGAGAUAGUGAAGUUGGUGCUCCUGGCCACUGUGUACGAGGGAGUGGUGUCCUAUGCAAAUGACCAUCAUUGCUGGGACCUUCUGUCCAGCUCCAAAUCUUUCUACAUAUGGGUCAUAGACCUGACCAGGUGGAACCACUUCUUGAGUGUCCCUGGCACCACUAUGACCCCGGACCCCAGUUUCUGAGGUCCCAGCACUCAAAUACAGUAGCCUUCCACCCUCCUUCCCCAACUUCCCAGCCCUCUGCUCUCCUGACUCCUCAGCCUUCAUGUCUUCCCUGUUGUGUGCACACUGGACCCUGGCCACUUCCCCCACCCCAGCAACUGCUUGCUUCCUGUGUCCCAUCCCAGUAUAAUGGAAAAGACGUGUGACCCCUGCCUUCUUCACUGAAUCAUGAGCCAUGUCCAGAAGUACCUCUGCAGCAUGGAUGAGGGUAGGAAGAUCCCGGCCAGGGCCUCAUAUGCGCAGGUGAGAGCUGAGAAGAGCACAACAGCUGCAGCCAUCUUCCUGUAGCUGAGGGACUGACUGUUUAACAGGAGGUUAACUAACGUCCCAGGAAGGAGAAAAAAGAGAAUCAGGCCAUCUCAAGUGGAGUUCCCUUCCCUGGCACGUCAGGGGACUGGUUCAAGGAGGCCAGGAAAGCUGGGAAGGGGUUAGCAGUUCUAGUCCUCCCUGAAUAAUGCAGGAUCCCAGAAUUGGGCUCCAAAUUCAAGGCUUACCAGCAAUACCCCCAAGCCCUGCCCCAUAGCCUCCUCCCCACGUGAGCAGACCUGCCACUGCUCUCACCUGGAUGCAGGCCUUGCCUGAGCAGAGGGCUGGGCGAGCACAGGGUCCCCGUGACCUCUCCUCCACCCGUAACCGUGGUGUCCUGCCCCUCAGCUCCUCUGGCACCACCAGUGGCACAGACCCUGAGGCACCAAUCUCUGGGUGCUCUAACCCAGUGGGUCAAGGAUCCCAACUUCAUCAUGGAGGAAAUCGGCCUGCAGGGAAUCAGUAACCUGGCCCUGCACCCGGGAAAUUCAAAGGCUCUCAAGAGGCUGGUUCCAUUCUUACGAGGCUUCCUGAAUGCUGAGGUGCGGGUGGCA